CGGGACGAUCAGACGACCGAGGCCGAGUGUGGUAAAGGCAAACGUUGACUGCACCAUGAGACGUCCAGAGAAGAUAUUUAGCAUUCAAAACGCAACAAGGAGAAACUAGUUUUAAGCCUUUAAAUUGUGUAUCAGCUGCAGCAGUAGAAAUGGCCGAGGAGAGGAAGCGAUCAAUAUCCAUGAGGGAGCCGCCCUACUUUGGUGUUGAAAAGAUACAAAGUUCAAUGUCGAGGGAGCUGAAUCGGAGUACAGAAAACAAAAGCUUGAAUGAGCACCUGACUGAUUAUCACCCUGCUCUCCAUGAUCGGAAAGAUUUCGCCAAAGCCAGUGUUAUCGUGAUCCUGGAUGAAAGCAGAACAAGCCGGCAACGUCUGUCAGUGAAGUAACAUCUGUGGGUAAAAAACCAAGAGAGACUUCUGCAGACACAUACAGAAUUUCUUCUGAAACUCGGCAAGCUUGCAUUUGUUCAUCUGCAGAAGAACAACCUCAUCUUCUAUGAUGAAGACCUGGAAGACUGUGGCAUUGACAUUCGAGAGGCAUCCGUCUACUCUGGAUUAUGCAGCACAGUUUUUAGGGAAGAAGAAGUCUUUUCCCAGAAAAAGAUUUUCUUCUUUGUGCACCUGACCAUACAGGAGUUCUUUGCUGCUCUUUUUGUCUAUGACUGUUUCACAAACAAGAAUACAAAAGAUCUCGGCAACUUCCUCAAUGUGAAGGACAAAGAACAUACCUUACUUGAUCUUCUGAAGUCGCAGUGAAACAACUUGGGAAAAUGUGGGAGUUCUUUUAAGAGAGGGAUUUAAAUCAAAACGUACAAAUUUGGAUUGCUCAAACGAAAAAAUCCAUACAAAGUAUGUAAGCUGUAAAGAAGGUUUGCACCAUGAAGCUGUUAUGAGUGUGUGUGUGUGUGUUAGUGAAAGAGAGGAAGUGAACACAAACACAUUAGCUUGGGUUUCAAACAUGUCUCUACCGUAGACUGUCGCGAAAUUACGAAUCCUACUGUGGCCACGACAAGACCCGCCCUUCAAUAGCAGCUCGAUUGGUUGGGUUUGGGACCUGAACAAAUCAGGUUAUGUUACCUUGCGUAAUCUUGCGUAAACGUGGACGCAUGGCCAAUAAUAGUGAUUGAAGGGCGGGUCUUGGUGUGGCCAUAGUAGGAUUCGAAAUUCGCCGCUCAGCGGUAUGGAGCUCGUAGCCAGUCACAUUAGGAGACCAGCUGGCGGUCUCCUAAUUUCGUAGGCUAUCUUAUGUUUUGGUGUGCAUACAUUUCCGUACGAUAUCAUAAGGACACGUUUGUGAGAAUGAGUUGACAUUCCUCAUUCCAUUCCGAUAUAGAUGUGACAGAAAAUACAGAAAAGCUUAAUAGGUCUGCUGUAAAACAAUAUUGUGACACAAGCAUCAGAUUUCAAUAUUACAUUUGAUUAUGAUGUUAAUAAAAGUUCUUAUAAUCUUUGUAUUUUUAGUUUUAACUGCUGUUUUGUUUGGGUUUAUCGGCAUCACUUUGUUACAUUUCAUAUCUUGUAUUAAAAUCUGAGUUUAAUCAUGUUAAGCACCUUAUUGUAAAAUCCCAAAAUACUGAACUGAGUCGCUGUGAUGACUGAAUGUUUUGUGGCUGAAAAAUCCAGGCUAACUUAAAUACAGAUUUGGGAUAUUUCAGAUGUGUUAAAACUUAUACAUGUCAAGCACUCAUAUACCGUUAAUUCAUAUUUGGUCUUCAAUGUUACAUGUGAAAAGUUAAUUUGCAAAAGAAAGAUAAAUGCCAUUCUUUAUCAAAACAACCCAACUCCAGUUUGAUAUUUCCUGGAGUGGACACAUGAAAAGAUGAUUUAGGAAGAUUUAUAAAAAUGAAUUCUUCAUGUAUUUAACCCUAAUGUUGACAUGUUUCUGAUUGUUUCUCAGUGUUACAUGUAACCUGUCAAUAAAAGGAAGGUGUUGACUGAA